GGUUAAUGGAUAACAAAAACAUACAAACAAGUUUGCUUUCUCAUAAUUUGAAAGGUCAAUCCAUGCUGUAGGCUCUUAACUAUGAUUAGUACAACCGCAAUUUGAGGGAAUUCUGAAUUGAACCACCCUGUUUUGGGUAUUGUCUGAUUUGAAUUAACACUGGAAUACAGGUAUUCCUAAGCCGACAUCCCUUUUAUUGCCAUUUUCUUCAUGUGGAAAGCAACAAACCUGGAGAGGCAUUCCUGUUUGUGCAGAGAACCUUCAUUAAAGCAAGGAUGCUGGAAAAUCAGAGUGCUUCUGCAGCACGUCUCCAAUGGGACAAGUUUCUCUCCUUGUCAGAUUUGUGAUUUUUCAUGGAGGGGGUGGAAUUGCCACUACCCUCUUCACAUGGUGAUUCACACUGGUUGGAAUGGACCCAGAGUGGAGAAGUAAAUACUGCCAUCCAUUAGGAAGAUAUGAAAAGAGACAUCUACAACUGCCCUCUCCUCACAAACUUCUGGAAAAUCGCUCACUGAGGACAGCAAAAGCUUUCUUUGGGACUCCACCUUAAAAAGCCAGGACAAGAAGAGCAGUGAAUCAUCCUCCUCAAUCAAGAUACACUCUCACAGUACUUUAAUUCCAAUUUCCUUGUAAGAGGCAAUUAGUUCUCCCGGCUAUCUUUGUAAUUUAUCUCUAUCAAAAUGAAACUCAACCUUUAUUGGAAUUGCUCUGAAGAAACUAAAAACCCACACUUACCUAAACAACACUGCAGCUUUCAACACAGUAGCAAUUUGUUCCAUGGCUAGGACUGGCCUAGCCAUUAGGCAGCCAGGUAGCUGAAGCUAGAGCAGAAAUGGUAGUCACACCAUCCCAGACAUUCCCAUCUGUUGGAUUUAUAUGGUCUGUUCUGCACCUCCUUAUUUAGACUACUGCCCCCAGGCAUAGUGAAGGACACUGCCCAAUAACUGGCUGUUGUUGUUGUGUGCCUUCAAGUUGUUUCUGACUUACAGUGACCUUAAGGAGAAUCUAUCAUGGGGUUUCCUUGCCCAGGUUCACCCAGUGGAUUUCCUGGCUGCGCAUGGAAUUGAAUCCUGGUCUUCAGAGUCAUAGUUCAGAACUCAAACCAGUAUACCACGCUGGUAAUGGAGUAAAAUUUAUCUGGUGGUCCAGUCCACCUUUGUAGCUGGAAUGGAAGGGGGCAUCAUAUUAUUUGCCUCAGGAAACAUAAUGUUAUAGAAUAGCCCCUUUGUAUGGCAUCAGCUGAGACUAUUACAAUUAGAUGAUGAGCUAGUUUUCACAUUUGGUGAAACUCUAUCUUGACCCUGGUCUGAAAUCAAUCAAAAGAAGGAAAUAAUAUUGUCAUGUUGAAAUUUAACCAACUUUACAGCCAGACAACUAUCUCACGGUAAGUUUACGGAGAGCCACACUGACCACUGUUACAAAAUGAGGUCAAAGAAUGCUAUUUAUAACUCGCACAGCAUGGGAAUGUAUUAAUAUCUAUUGUUUGUGACUGAACCAGUCUGUCUUCAAGAUGUCGCACUUAGUGGAUGCUAAAAGAUGAGAGUCAUGGCACAUCCACCAGAAAUGACUGGAGAUCAAUGUCGAUAACAUUCCUUUUCUCACAGUCACAUUGUUAGGCUGGAUCAGUUCGAGUUAG